rnacentral:rRNA from 1 species
AUUGAACGCUGGCGGCAGGCCUAACACAUGCAAGUCGAGCGGUUGAAGGGAGCUUGCUCCUGGAUUCAGCGGCGGACGGGUGAGGAAGGCCUAGGAAUCUGCCUGGUAGUGGGGGAUAACGUCCGGAAACGGGCGCUAAUACCGCAUACGCCCUGAGGGAGAAAGUGGGGGAUCUUCGGACCUCACGCUAUCAGAUGAGCCUAGGUCGGAUUAGCUAGUUGGUGGGGUAAAGGCCUACCAAGGCGACGAUCCGUAACUGGUCUGAGAGGAUGAUCAGUCACACUGGAACUGAGACACGGUCCAGACUCCUACGGGAGGCAGCAGUGGGGAAUAUUGGACAAUGGGCGAAAGCCUGAUCCAGCCAUGCCGCGUGUGUGAAGAAGGUCUUCGGAUUGUAAAGCACUUUAAGUUGGGAGGAAGGGCAGUAAGUUAAUACCUUGCUGUUUUGACGUUACCAACAGAAUAAGCACCGGCUAACUUCGUG